rnacentral:snRNA from 1 species
UCUAGAUACGCUACAUAUA